CUCUCUUUCUCCUGUUCCAGCAAUGUAAGAGGAGCUGGCUUCACCUUCACCUUCGCCAUGAUUGAAGGUUUCCUGAGGCCUCCCCAGAAGCUGAACAGAGGCCAGUAUCAUGCUUCCUGUACAGCCUGCAGAACUGUGAGCCAAUUAAACCUCUUUUCUUUAUAAAUUACCCAGACUCAGAUAUUUCCUUAUAGCAAUACAGAAACAGACUAACAUAGUCUCACUCAUAAAGAAGUAUAAGUCAAACCCAUGAUGUGAUACUACUCUACAGCAUUUUUUAAAGAUAAAGCAAUAUUAUUUAUAAGGGUUAGUAAUAUUAUAAAAUGGUACAGUUCUUAGCCAAUUGAAGUAUAUUUUAGUAAUACAUAGAGAAAAUAAUAAAAAUAUUCAGUCCCUUUGACCCAGCAGUUCCAUUUUUGGGGAAUCUUAAAAGGGUGAAGAAGUAGAAAUUACAUAUACCAAGUUGUUUCCAGCAGCAUCAUUUAUACUAGUGAAAAUAAGAAACAUCCUAAAUAUUCAACAGCAACCGACUGGUUAUAUAAUUAUGAUUAGUCCAUAAGGCAGUGGUUCCUAACCUUUUUGGCACCAGGGACUAGUUUUGUGGAAGACAAUUUUUCCAUGGAAGGGGUGGGGAGUGGCAGGGUAGGGUGUGGGGAUAGUUUGGGGAUGAAACUGUUCUACCUCAGAUCAUCAGGCAUUAGUUAGAUUCUCAUAAGGAGAACACAACCUAGAUCCCUGCAUAACAGCUCAGAAUAGGGUUCCUGCUGCUAAAAGAAUCUAAUGCUGCUGAUGAUCUGAUAGGAGGCAGAGCUCAGACAGUAAUGCUCGCUAGCCCUUGGCUUACUUCCUGCCUAACAGGCCAUGGACAGGUACCAGUCUGUGGCCCGGGGGUUGUGGACCCCUGCCAUAGAGGACACUGUGGUCUAUGUUAACUAUAAUAAUUCUACCCACCAACUACCAUCCCAGGCCAAUGAUUGGAUUGCAAAUGGUCAUGACUGAAUUCUGAACAUAAGAGGAAAAGUUUUCUGAGCAGUUUUGGGGAAAGUUAUCUCUCCCCUAAGCAAGAGACACAAGAAGAAACCACCCAUCUUCUAACUCUGAGCACUGUCCUCGAUGUGGCCCCUGGAGCUGCUGCCCUCAUCUUAUGCCACACCUGAGAAUGAAAUCAACACUGAGAAGCGCAUUUUGGAGAUAUGGGAAAGCCCGUGCUUGAUGACAACACUGACCUAUUGAAUCAGUCAACCUAGAGCCUCAGCUUCUAUGCUACCACAUCCACUGGAGUUAGAUGGGGAAGCAGGUUCCUCAUCAGAAUUGCUCAGGAACUCAGACUGACAGAACAGCCACCAUUCUGACCAUUGCCUGUCACUAUGCUAGAGGUAAGAAAAAAAAAAAAAAAGCAUCCAAACUGCAUACUGGAUUUUAAUGCUUUCACUACGUUAUUUCCACUUGCAUUUCAUUAGCCAAAACAGGUCACAUGGCCAUGCCUGGGUUCAAAGGAAGAGAGAAAGUGUAAUUCUCCCAUGUCCCUGGAAGCCAGAAAUAUCUGGCAAAUAGCCCUAAUGGCGAUCACAGGGCUACAACAAAUGGCUGUUGGAUGCAAAGCACAAUUAUAUGUGCAGAAGGUAGACUUUUUUUAUAUCCCAGAGAGAAGGAAGAGAUGAAGCCUCUAUAGAGCAAAAUUAGCAUAGUGAGACACAAACAGCCCCUCCCUUGCUCUGAGUACACACUCAACUUCACACAGCAAUUGAUUCAGUAUGUGGUUCAAGUUUCAGAAUAUUAUAAAUGUAGUGGAGACUUCUGUAUCAUUCUCAAAGUGCUAUUAUGAAAGACCAUCAGACAGAAAGUAGAUUAAUUAUUACAUUAAUAUCUCCCUCAAAAAAUCUGCCUACAUCACCAAAAGCCACAAAUGGUGAAACUCCCUGAUAGGACAUACCUCAUGCCUCAAUCCCCUCCUUGCUAUCUUUUUGCAUGUGUUUUGGAAGUUUUUUAAAUUUUAACAUUCUAGUCUCAGAUGAAGCAUACAUUCUAAAUUCUGAAACGUGGAGUCUAUGUAUCAUAGUUCAUUCCUCAUCUCAUUUAUCUCAUCUUCCCUUACAUGCCUCUCUGCACAGUGGGAAAACUUUCUUUUGACCCCACUUUCUCCAAAAUGGUUCCCUGAUUACCCCAGGUCAGAGCACAACCGCCCUUUUUUUUAUUGCCAAGCUGUGAUGUUUCCAUGAUUUACACCAUUUAACUGUCAUUCUUCCCUAGCUGCUUUCUCCAACAGUCUAUAAAGUCCUUUGAGAAUCAUAGGUUGCUAGAUGUCUAAAUGGGCAAACUGAACACUACAUUCUCUCUUCCCAGUCACUGCAAGGACAGGUGGAGUUCCUUCUCAAGGAUUUCAUCUCUAAGAGCAGUCCG
rnacentral:lncRNA from 1 species